AUGACCUAUGAAUUGACAGCCAGUGCAAUUACAGAUUUGCCUGUCAGUUCCAUAGGCCACUA
rnacentral:pre_miRNA from 1 species